AAGCUAAAGCGAAAGCGCUAACUUGUACAUGCCAAUAAACCUGUUUUAUACUAAUGAAGCAUUUUUUGUGAAUGGAAUUUUCAACAUUCAGCACUGAAAGUUUUUAUUAUUGGAUAUCCACUGAGACGCUGGAUUUUCAGGCCCAAGAAGAGCUAAAUGCAUUAUAUUAAAACUUCUCCCAGUCAUAGGAACAAGACCUGAAAUGGACCAAGGAGAAGAAUAGAGGAGAAUCUGUCCCUGAAAGCAGUAGCAACAACUACUGAUUGACCAGAGCAGCGAUGAGAGACGGUACUUCAAUUCUGUAUUCUUAUUAGAUACACAACUUAGCCAACUCAGCGAGCCAAAAAGAGCAAAAUCAGUGGGGACAGAUGAACCUACCAGCCCACACAUGUAACAACUUCUGAGACAGCCAAAUUAAAAAGAUGUCCACCUGAAAGAAUGUAAAAGACUGUACACUAACCCGAAGGUCACUGGCAAAUGAUCACCCUCAAACAGUAAAGUCUGUCACUGCAUGAGCAGAGGAAGUGGCAACCAGACAACCUGAGUUAGUCACUUGUGUGAGAGGGUUAAAACAUCCACAAUGAUAUAAAAGUGCCAAACUUUUUAUUAUUUGCACUUUUUCUGGGACAACUUAUUUUUGCUUACAAAAUGACAUUAUUUUUCUAAGUGAAAGUGGAAGAUGAGAUGAAAAGUAGCCCAUGUGCUUCCUAGCCAUAUUCUGUAAAAAUACACAAAUUUUCCAUAAAGCAUAUCUCCACUCAGUGAAUGAAAAUCAUAUUUUUAUCUUUUAUAUAGUACUAAUGUCUCAAUGUUACUCAUCCUGGUUAGUAGUGUUUUGCAUUUUUUUAAUUCCAAAAGCCUUAUAUGGUUUAACAGAAUGACAUGAUUGUGUUUUACAGCCAGACCUCUAUCUUCUCAUAAUGCAGUCUGUGCUCCUAUUAAAUGAUACUAUUGGGUCA